rnacentral:rRNA from 1 species
UUAGUGUUUGAUUCUGGCUCAGGAUGAACGCUGGCGGUAUGCUUAACACAUGCAAGUCGAACGAGAUUCUUCGGAAUCUAGUGGCGGACGGGUGAGUAACGCGUGAGAAUCUAGCUUUAGGAGGGGGAUAACAGCGGGAAACUGCUGCUAAUACCCCAUAUGCCUAUGGGUAAAACGGUGUACUCCGCCUAGAGAUGAGCUCGCGUCUGAUUAGCUAGUUGGUGAGGUAAGAGCUCACCAAGGCAACGAUCAGUAACUGGUCUGAGAGGAUGACCAGUCACACUGGGACUGAGACACGGCCCAGACUCCUACGGGAGGCAGCAGUGGGGAAUUUUCCGCAAUGGGCGAAAGCCUGACGGAGCAAUACCGCGUGCGGGAGGAAGGCCCCUUGGAUUGUAA